rnacentral:tRNA from 1 species
GGAAGGGUGCCCGAGUGGCUAAAGGGACGGACUGUAAAUCCGUUGGCGUGCGCCUACGUUGGUUCGAAUCCAACCCCUUCCACCA